AAUGUGAUGGUGUGUGGAUUUUGAGAAUACCUAAAAAAAUCAUUGUGUUUUUUCUCUUGAUCCCUCUUUUGGAUCACUUACUCUGAGGGGAGGCCAGCUGCCAUGCUGUGAAAACACUCAAGCAGUCUCACAGAGUGUUCAAAUGGCAAGGUACUGAGGUGCCCUGGCAACAGCAAGGAACUGAGGCCUUCGUCCAAAGCCAUUAAGUGAGCCAUACUGGAAGCAGGUGCUCCGGUCCCUGGUGGUCUUGAGAUGACAGCAGCUUCAGUGUCUUGACUGCAACCUCAAGAAAGACCUUGAGCCAAAGCCAUCCAGGCCAUAAAAGGAGAAGGAUUUGAGGCUAAUUAUGAAAUAAUAGCCAAAACCUGAUAAAGAAGACAAAGGGCAAGCUCAGAACUGGAGACAAUGGCACAGGAAAAUGAGAAAUAAACAGCCACGUAUAGGCAGCAUUAUCAGUGGUUGCCUUACAAAGUGACAGGGGCUAAAGCAG